UUAGAGUGACAGCGUACCUUUUGCAUAAUGGGUCAGCGAGUUAAUCUAUGAAGCAAGCUUAAGCCGGUAGGUGUAGGCGUAGCGAAAGCAAGUCUGAAUAGGGCGUUUAGUUUUAUGGAUUAGACCCGAAACCAAGUGAUCUAGUCAUGACCAGAUUGAAGGUAUGGUAAAACAUACUGAAGGAUCGAACCAGUUAAUGUUGCAACAUUAUUGGAUGAGUUGUGAUUAGGGGUGAAAGGCCAAUCAAACUUGGAAAUAGCUGGUUCUCCGCGAAAUCUAUUUAGGUAGGGCGUUGUAUGUAUGUUGUUGGGGGUAGAGCACUGGAUAGACUAGGGGGAUUCAUCAUCUUACCAAAUCUAACCAAACUCCGAAUACCAAUAAUUAAUUAUACAGCAGACACACUAUGGGUGCUAAGUCCGUGGUGGAAAGGGAAACAGCCCAGAUCACUAUCUAAGGUCCCAAAAAUUGCAGCUAAGUGGGGAAGGAAGUAGAAAAACCAUUACAGCUAGGAGGUUGGCUUGGAAGCAGCCAUCCUUUAAAGAAAGCGUAACAGCUCACUUGUCUAAAUAAGUUUUUCUGCGCUGAAAAUGUACCGGGGCUAAAGCUGUAUACCGAAGAUGUGGGUACUUAUUGAUUCUGGUCAAUAAGUGCGGUAGCGGAGCGUUCUGUAAGUCUGUGAAGGUGGUUUGUGAAAACUGCUGGAGAUAUCAGAAGUGAGAAUGCUGACAUAAGUAGCGUAAAAGAGUGUGAAAAACACUCUCACCAAAAAUCUAAGGGUUCCUACGUUAAGUUAAUCUGCGUAGGGUUAGUCGGUUCCUAAGGCGAGUCCGUAAAGGAGUAGUCGAUGGCAAUCAGGUUAAUAUUCCUGAACCUCUUAAGUGUGACGGGUUUUGUAUUUGUAUGGGUCUUAUUGGAUUGACCUAUGCUUAAAAGAAGCUCCAGGAAAUAGCACUUAUAUUCAUGAGGCCGUACCGUAAACCGACACUGGUGGAUGAGUAGAGUAUACUAAGGUGUUGAAAGAAUGAUGUUGAAGGAACUCGGCAAAUUGUACCUGUAACUUCGGAAGAAGGGUAACCUGCUUUUAGGCAACUAUUAGCAGGUGGCACAGAAUAGGGAGUAGCGACUGUUUACUAAAAACACAGGACUCUGCAAACACGUAAGUGGAAGUAUAGGGUCUGACGCCUGCCCGGUGCUGGAAGGUUAAUAGGAAGGGUGUAAGCUCUAAAUUGAAGCCCCAGUAAACGGCGGCCGUAACACUGACGGUCCUAAGGUAGCGAAAUUCCUUGUCGGGUAAGUUCCGACCCGCACGAAUGGCGUAACGAUUUCUCCACUGUCUCCAACAUCAAUUCAGCGAAAUUGAAUUCCCCGUGCAGAUGCGGGGUACCCGCGGUUAGACGAAGAGACCCCGUGCACCUUUACUAUAGCUUUACAUUGCUAUUAAAAAUGUGAUGUGCAGGAUAGGUGGGAGACUUUGAAGUUAUAGCGCUAGCUAUAAUGGAGUCAACCUUGAGAUACCACCCUUUACACUUUUAAUAUCUAACUAUGUUUCAUUAUCUGGAACUAGGACAUUGUAUGGUGGGUAGUUUGACUGGGGCGGUCGCCUCCCAAAGAGUAACGGAGGCGUGCGAAGGUGGGCUCAGAGCGGGCGGAAAUCGCUCGUUGAGUGCAAUGGCAUAAGCCUGCCUGACUGCGAGACUGACAAGUCGAGCAGAGACGAAAGUCGGUCAUAGUGAUCCGGUGAUUCUGUAUGGAAGGGUCAUCGCUCAACGGAUAAAAGGUACGCCGGGGAUAACAGGCU
rnacentral:rRNA from 1 species